rnacentral:rRNA from 1 species
GAGUUAUCUGAACCUUCGGGGAACGAUAACGGCGUCGAGCGGCGGACGGGUGAGUAAUGCCUGGGAAAUUGCCCUGAUGUGGGGGAUAACCAUUGGAAACGAUGGCUAAUACCGCAUAAUAGCUUCGGCUCAAAGAGGGGGACCUUCGGGCCUCUCGCGUCAGGAUAUGCCCAGGUGGGAUUAGCUAGUUGGUGAGGUAAGGGCUCACCAAGGCGACGAUCCCUAGCUGGUCUGAGAGGAUGAUCAGCCACACUGGAACUGAGACACGGUCCAGACUCCUACGGGAGGCAGCAGUGGGGAAUAUUGCACAAUGGGCGCAAGCCUGAUGCAGCCAUGCCGCGUGUAUGAAGAAGGCCUUCGGGUUGUAAAGUACUUUCAGCAGUGAGGAAGGUGGUGUGCUUAAUACGUGCAUCAUUUGACGUUAGCUGCAGAAGAAGCACCGGCUAACUCCGUGCCAGCAGCCGCGGUAAUACGGAGGGUGCGAGCGUUAAUCGGAAUUACUGGGCGUAAAGCGCAUGCAGGUGGUUUGUUAAGUCAGAUGUGAAAGCCCGGGGCUCAACCUCGGAAUUGCAUUUGAAACUGGCAGACUAGAGUACUGUAGAGGGGGGUAGAAUUUCAGGUGUAGCGGUGAAAUGCGUAGAGAUCUGAAGGAAUACCGGUGGCGAAGGCGGCCCCCUGGACAGAUACUGACACUCAGAUGCGAAAGCGUGGGGAGCAAACAGGAUUAGAUACCCUGGUAGUCCACGCCGUAAACGAUGUCUACUUGGAGGUUGUGGCCUUGAGCCGUGGCUUUCGGAGCUAACGCGUUAAGUAGACCGCCUGGGGAGUACGGUCGCAAGAUUAAAACUCAAAUGAAUUGACGGGGGCCCGCACAAGCGGUGGAGCAUGUGGUUUAAUUCGAUGCAACGCGAAGAACCUUACCUACUCUUGACAUCCAUAGAACUUUCCAGAGAUGGAUUGGUGCCUUCGGGAACUAUGAGACAGGUGCUGCAUGGCUGUCGUCAGCUCGUGUUGUGAAAUGUUGGGUUAAGUCCCGCAACGAGCGCAACCCUUAUCCUUGUUUGCCAGCACUUCGGGUGGGAACUCCAGGGAGACUGC